rnacentral:rRNA from 1 species
CCUACGGGCGGCAGCAGUCGGGAAUAUUGCACAAUGGAGGAAACUCUGACGCAGUGACGCCGCGUGCAGGAAGAAGGUUUUCGGAUUGUAAACUGCUUUAGACAGGGAAGAAGAUAGACAGUAUAUUUAGAAUAAGCUCCGGCGAACUACGUGCCAGCAGCCGCGGUAAUACGGAGGGAGCAAGCGUUGUCCGGAAUUAUUGGGGGUGAAGGGUUCGGAGACGGUGAAGGAAGUUAGUUGUGAAAUCCCUCGGCGUAACCGAGGAAAUGCAACUAAAACUAGUUCCCUUGAGUACUGGAGUGGAAAGUAGAAUUCCUGGUGUAGCGGUGAAAUGCGUAGAGAUUAGGAGGAACACCAGUGGCGAAGGCGACUUUCUGGACAGUAACUGACGUUGAGGUACGAAAGUGUGGGGAGCAAACAGGAUUAGAUACCCGAGUAGUC